rnacentral:lncRNA from 1 species
UGACAUUAAGAUGCGCUACACUGCUGCAUGGAAAACUUGGUCAGAAAUACCUUUAAAGACAAAAGACGAGCUCUUCGGACUUUUUCGGGUAAAUACAACUUAUAUUCUAAAAUUUCUAAUAUGUAUUUUAAGUUUUUUAAAUUUACAUAGCAUUGAUUGUUAUUUGUAGAGUCGAUAUGUAUGGGAUGAGAGUGAAGAAGAUAUGGUUCGAAUUGCUUGGGAAAAGGUAGGUAAAGAAAGACUACGAGACAUUCUUAAUAGAGUUAGGAGCGAAUUGUUGCGCAAGCACAAA